rnacentral:rRNA from 1 species
AACUAGGUGUAUUUUAUGCCUAGCUUUUUCUGCUCAAUGAAUAUUUAAAUAGCCGCAGUACUCUGACUGUGCAAAGGUAGCAUAAUCAGUUGGCUCAUAAUUGGAGUCUUGUAUGAACGAUCGCAUGGGUAAAACCUGUCUCUUAACGACCUAUAGAACUUUUUGAGUAAGUGWAAAUACUUACUAACGCCCUAAAAGACGAGAAGACCCUAKAAAUUUUUCACCAAGGACGCGUAGUAGCGUUUUCGUGUUUUGCUGGGGCGGCAGAGUAACACUUAAAAACUUGCUCUACACAUUAGACUUUUGUAUACGGAUAAACCAUAAUUACUCUAGGGAUAACAGCGUAAUUCAUAUUUGAGUUUGCGACCUCGAUGUUGGACUAGGGAGGAGAAUGCGCAGAAGGUGUUCUCUCACGUUCUGUUCGAACGAUAUCCCCUACAUG